rnacentral:rRNA from 1 species
UGGGGAAUAUUGCGCAAUGGGGGAAACCCUGACGCAGCGACGCCGCGUGCGGGAUGAUGGCCUUCGGGUUGUAAACCGCUUUUGAUUGGGAGCAAGCUUUCGGGUGAGUGUACCUUUCGAAUAAGCGCCGGCUAACUACGUGCCAGCAGCCGCGGUAAUACGUAGGGCGCAAGCGUUAUCCGGAAUUAUUGGGCGUAAAGAGCUUGUAGGCGGUUCGUCGCGUCUGGUGUGAAAGCCCAUCGCUUAACGGUGGGUUUGCGCCGGGUACGGGCGGGCUAGAGUGCAGUAGGGGAGACUGGAAUUCCCGGUGUAACGGUGGAAUGUGUAGAUAUCGGGAAGAACACCAAUGGCGAAGGCAGGUCUCUGGGCUGUUACUGACGCUGAGAAGCGAAAGCGUGGGGAGCGAACAGG